CCUACGUGUGGCUGCAGUGGGGGAUAUUGCACAAUGGGGGAAACCCUGAUGUAGCGACGCCGCGUGUGGGAAGACGGUCCUCUGGAUUGUAAACCACUGUCCCCAGGGACGAAGAUGACGGUACCUGGGGAGGAAGCUCCGGCUAACUACGUGCCAGCAGCCGCGGUAAUACGUAGGGAGCAAGCGUUGUCCGGAAUUACUGGGUGUAAAGGGAGCGUAGGCGGGAUGGCAAGUUGGGUGUUAAAUCUACCGGCUCAACUGGUAGUCGCACUCAAAACUGCUAUUCUUGAGUGAAGUAGAGGCAGGCGGAAUUCCUAGUGUAGCGGUGAAAUGCAUAGAUAUCACGCAGAACCCCGAUUGCGAAGGCAGCAUACCGGUGCACAACUGACGCUCAGGCACGAAAGCGUGGGUAUCGAACAGGAUUAGAUACCCCGGUAGUC
rnacentral:rRNA from 1 species